rfam:Picoides pubescens contig35236, whole genome shotgun sequence.
CCAAAGGCUCUUUUAAGAGCCACUCACAUACGCAAUAAGAAGGGCU